rnacentral:rRNA from 1 species
ACACGUAGGGGGCAAGCGUUGUCCGGAAUCACUGGGCGUAAAGGGUGCGUAGGCGGUAUGCCAAGUCAGGUGUGAAACCCCAUGGCUCAACUGUGGGCUUGCACAUGAAACUGGUAUGCUUGAGUGCAGGAGAGGAAAGCGGAAUUCCUAGUGUAGCGGUGAAAUGCGUAGAUAUUAGGAGGAACACCAGUAGCGAAGGCGGCUUUCUGGACUGUAACUGACGCUGAGGCACGAAAGCGUGGGGAGCAAACAGGAUUAGAUACCCUGGUAGUCCACGCUGUAAACUAUGGAUACUAGGUGUAGGGGGUCAGACCUCUGUGCCGGAGUUAACGCAUUAAGUAUCCCGCCUGGGGACUACGGCCGCAAGGCUGAA